UUUUCUCUGUUUUCGUUUCUCAGACUUCCUUGCCUCUGUCCUGCUUCAAUAAAGUUUCAAUAAUAUGUUGGUAAUUAUUUAUUGUUGUUACUCAAGUUACUGUAACCUACAUGUCCAAGAUGUACUUUGUCAAGCAAUGUUUAUGUGGUUAGCUGGAUAUUUUGUUUAUUUUAUUCCCACUAAAUUAGGAUGGGCUCAUUUAAAUGGACCAGUCUGAGAAAUUUCUUUUGGAAUGAAAGGAAUUGGUAAAAAAGUUUCUUGUUGGUCAAUAAAAUUUCUGCAGUUACUUAUUAAAAAAACCUCGUUGAUCACAUAAACUAAUUACUGAAUUGGAAUAACAAUCAGGUGAAUUUCGAGAAGGCGUACCACUGAAUCAUCAAGUUCAUUCAGAUAACAUCGUCACAUACUCUUAGUUAAUUUUUACCUUUGAGUUACUUUCUGGGGCCUUGGUUUGUGGUAUUGAUCAAUUAACUACGCUUUAAUCCCAAAUCAGUUGGGCUCGGUUGUAUGAAUCCUGUUGUGUCAUUAUUGUUAGACUAUGUCUAUAUUGUCCAUCGACCUACUAAAACUGUCCUUUUUUAUUAUGCCCGGUUUGGCUAUGUUUUGCAAAUAGUUGGAGUUCUUGGUUUUAUGCUGCCAGACAUUAAACUUCUGGGGCUUACUUAGUGAAGUCCAGAGUCCAGGCAACUAGGUUAGAUGAACUUCGCUGAAGCAAACAGAGUAUGACAACUUGUAAUUUGUGCCUUUGAAAUACUAUCUGUAGUGCUUAGAUCAUUUUAAUAGUCUAAAUGCCUUCUGAUUGAUUUUUGUCGGAAUUGAGACUUCUUCUAAAAUUUCAAAAUAGUUGAUAGGUUAACUUGACAUUCUGCAGGUAUACCCUCAAUAUUUGGGAUGUCGGGGGUCAGAAAACGAUUCGUUCUUAUUGGAGAAACUACUUUGAGCAAACUGAUGGCUUGGUGUGGGUUGUGGAUAGUUCUGAUCUGAGAAGG
rnacentral:lncRNA from 1 species